rnacentral:rRNA from 1 species
UACGUAGGCAGCGAGCGUUGUUCGGAGUUACUGGGCGUAAAGAGCUCGUAGGCGGCUCGUUGCGUCGGCUGUGAAAACCCGCAGCUCAACUGUGGGCUUGCAGCCGAUACGGGCGGGCUGGAGUUCGGUAGGGGAGACUGGAAUUCCUGGUGUAGCGGUGAAAUGCGCAGAUAUCAGGAGGAACACCGGUGGCGAAGGCGGGUCUCUGGGCCGAUACUGACGCUGAGGAGCGAAAGCGUGGGGAGCGAACAGG